UUCUUCUAAGGUCGUCAUUGCCCUUACAGAGGGAUGUCCCAGCCUUUGCCAUGUCCUAUCGGGCAGUACACAGAUGUUCCCGGCCAGAUCUCAUGUAAGAGCUGUAAUGGAAGUGCUGCAUGUAGAGUUAUUGGAGCUCAGACCAGGAGUAGAACAGAGCUUCAGCCGGGCCAGAGGAACAAAACGCCGCCCACCUGUUCACCUGGCACACACAGAGACGGAGAGGGACCCGGCUGUGAGGUGUGUCCUCUGGGACAUUACUGUGUAGCAGGCAUUGCUAUACAGUGCCCAGCUGGGACAUAUGGACCUAAAGAGGGUCUGCAGAGGGAGAGAGACUGCGCUAUCUGCCCUGCAGGGUUUUACUGUUUGGAGGGCACCUCCCGGAGGCCCAGUUCUCAGUUUCUGUGCCCUCAAGGCUAUUACUGUGAGGAGGGCACCGCCGUGCCACACGGGUCACCUUGCCCGGCCGGCACUGCAGGAGGACAACUGGGCCAGACAAGUAGGGC
rnacentral:lncRNA from 1 species